rnacentral:rRNA from 1 species
AGGGUUUGAUCCUGGCUCAGGACGAACGUUGGCGGUGCGCUUAAUGCAUGCAAGUCGAGGGAGAACCUUUCGAUCCGUAAGGACCGAAUGGGGAAACCGGCGAACGGGUGCGUAACACGUGAGGAACCUGCCCCGAAGACCGGGAUAGCCCGAGGAAACUCGGAUUAAUACCGGAUACCCUCUUCGGACCACAUGGUCUGUUGAGGAAAUGGUCCGCCGCUUCGGGAUGGCCUCGCGGCCUAUCAGCUUGUUGGUGAGGUAAUGGCUCACCAAGGCAAAGACGGGUAGCUGGUCUGAGAGGACGAUCAGCCACACUGGGACUGAGACACGGCCCAGACUCCUACGGGAGGCAGCAGCAGGGAAUAUUGCACAAUGGGCGAAAGCCUGAUGCAGCGACACCGCGUGCGGGAUGAAGGCCCUCGGGUUGUAAACCGCUUUCAGGAGGGACGAAAAUGACGGUACCUCCAGAAGAAGGCCCGGCCAACUACGUGCCAGCAGCCGCGGUAAUACGUAGGGGCCAAACGUUGUCCGGAUUUAUUGGGCGUAAAGGGCUCGUAGGCGGUUCAACAAGUCGAUCGUGAAAGCCCGGGGCUCAACCCCGGGACGCCGGUCGAAACUGUUGUGACUAGGGUCCGGUAGAGGUGAGUGGAAUUCUCGGUGUAGCGGUGGAAUGCGCAGAUAUCGAGAGGAACACCAGUUGCGAAGGCGGCUCACUGGGCCGGUACCGACGCUAAGGAGCGAAAGCGUGGGGAGCAAACAGGAUUAGAUAC